UUUAUUAAGAUGCUUGCAGGAGCAAAGUGUUCAAUUUUUAAAUUGGUGUCAACUUCUCAGAGGUCUGUGUCCACACCUUCAAGGCGCUGCAUUUCCUCAGCCACUUCAGAGUUGUCACUCCUGUGAUGAAAUGUGGCAGAGAGGGAUUCAGAACAUAAUCGUUUGGACAGCAAGCCAAAGCGGCUAAAGGUUCCUCAUCUCCAAAAUAGGGAUGACAGUCAACCCAGGAGCAUCAAUGGAUAACAUGUCGUUUACGUGCAAAAGACUUAUGACAACAUCGAACAGACCCU